AUGAACAUCUGAAUGAUACACUACAUGAAAAAAUUAUAUUUGUUCAUCUAGGACUAGUGUCCAAGGCUGGAACAAUAGCCCCACAAAUUGAAAAAAGAGCAAGAAUCAUUGCUAAUCGCCUAAUUGACUCUAAAUUGGCAGAUCUGAUUUUUCUUCCGUAUAACCCAAGGUUUCAUUGGGUUUUGGCUGUAAUUGACCUCAAAUCACAAACAGUCUACUAUUUAGACUUGCUAUUACAACAGUCAUACUAAGAUAUAAAAGAUAUUGUGAACAUGGGGUUUCGAAUUUUUGUAUCUCAAAAGAAGAAAGGAUCUAAAAAAUAGCUCAAGUGGAUAGUUAUUGAGGUAUAGGGUGACAUUUGCAGUUGUUGCAAUUUUGAGAUUUCAAGAUUAGACGUAAGAUCUUAUUGUCAUGCAUAGAUGCUCAAGUUUUGGAUACUUUUGGUUAGGUGACAUUUGCAGUAGUUGCAGUUUUUAGAGGAGAAGAUCAUGCAUAAAUUUUUGUUAUCAUGUACAGAUACUUAAUAUUUGGUUAUUUUUGGAAGGUUAGGUGGCAUUUGCAACAAUUACAACACUUUUGAAGGCACAAGAUCAUGCAUACAUUAUAUUUAUCAUGUAUAACUACCGGAUUUUUGGGUACAUAUUUGCCUUUUUUUGGAUGUAUGUGAUGAUAAUACAAGAUUA